UAUGAACGCUAGCUACAGGCUUAACACAUGCAAGUCGAGGGGCAUCAGGAAGAAAGCUUGCUUUCUUUGCUGGCGACCGGCGCACGGGUGAGUAACACGUAUCCAACCUGCCCUUUACUCGGGGAUAGCCUUUCGAAAGAAAGAUUAAUACCCGAUGGCAUAAUGAUUCCGCAUGGUUUCAUUAUUAAAGGAUUCCGGUAAAGGAUGGGGAUGCGUUCCAUUAGGUUGUUGGUGAGGUAACGGCUCACCAAGCCUUCGAUGGAUAGGGGUUCUGAGAGGAAGGUCCCCCACAUUGGAACUGAGACACGGUCCAAACUCCUACGGGAGGCAGCAGUGAGGAAUAUUGGUCAAUGGGCGCUAGCCUGAACCAGCCAAGUAGCGUGAAGGAUGAAGGCUCUAUGGGUCGUAAACUUCUUUUAUAUAAGAAUAAAGUGCAGUAUGUAUACUGUUUUGUAUGUAUUAUAUGAAUAAGGAUCGGCUAACUCCGUGCCAGCAGCCGCGGUAAUACGGAGGAUCCGAGCGUUAUCCGGAUUUAUUGGGUUUAAAGGGAGCGUAGGUGGACUGGUAAGUCAGUUGUGAAAGUUUGCGGCUCAACCGUAAAAUUGCAGUUGAUACUGUCAGUCUUGAGUACAGUAGAGGUGGGCGGAAUUCGUGGUGUAGCGGUGAAAUGCUUAGAUAUCACGAAGAACUCCGAUUGCGAAGGCAGCUCACUGGACUGCAACUGACACUGAUGCUCGAAAGUGUGGGUAUCAAACAGGAUUAGAUACCCUGGUAGUCCACACAGUAAACGAUGAAUACUCGCUGUUUGCGAUAUACAGUAAGCGGCCAAGCGAAAGCAUUAAGUAUUCCACCUGGGGAGUACGCCGGCAACGGUGAAACUCAAAGGAAUUGACGGGGGCCCGCACAAGCGGAGGAACAUGUGGUUUAAUUCGAUGAUACGCGAGGAACCUUACCCGGGCUUAAAUUGCAGUGGAAUGAUGUGGAAACAUAUCAGUGAGCAAUCACCGCUGUGAAGGUGCUGCAUGGUUGUCGUCAGCUCGUGCCGUGAGGUGUCGGCUUAAGUGCCAUAACGAGCGCAACCCUUAUCUUUAGUUACUAACAGGUUAUGCUGAGGACUCUAGAGAGACUGCCGUCGUAAGAUGUGAGGAAGGUGGGGAUGACGUCAAAUCAGCACGGCCCUUACGUCCGGGGCUACACACGUGUUACAAUGGGGGGUACAGAAGGCAGCUAGCGGGUGACCGUAUGCUAAUCCCAAAAGCCUCUCUCAGUUCGGAUCGAAGUCUGCAACCCGACUUCGUGAAGCUGGAUUCGCUAGUAAUCGCGCAUCAGCCACGGCGCGGUGAAUACGUUCCCGGGCCUUGUACACACCGCCCGUCAAGCCAUGGGAGCCGGGGGUACCUGAAGUACGUAACCGCAAGGAUCGUCCUAGGGUAAAACUGGU
rnacentral:rRNA from 1 species